rnacentral:rRNA from 1 species
UGGGGAAUAUUGGACAAUGGGGGGAACCCUGAUCCAGCCAUGCCGCGUGUGUGAAGAAGGCCUUAUGGUUGUAAAGCACUUUAAGCGAGGAGGAGGGUACUGGUAUUAAUACUACCAGCUACUGGACGUUACUCGCAGAAUAAGCACCGGCUAACUCUGUGCCAGCAGCCGCGGUAAUACAGAGGGUGCGAGCGUUAAUCGGAUUUACUGGGCGUAAAGCGUGCGUAGGCGGCUAAUUGAGUCGGAUGUGAAAUCCCCGAGCUUAACUUGGGAAUUGCAUUCGAUACUGGUUAGCUAGAGUGUGGGAGAGGAUGGUAGAAUUCCAGGUGUAGCGGUGAAAUGCGUAGAGAUCUGGAGGAAUACCGAUGGCGAAGGCAGCCAUCUGGCCUAAUACUGACGCUGAGGUACGAAAGCAUGGGGAGCAAACAGG